rfam:Physcomitrella patens subsp. patens PHYPAscaffold_550 genomic scaffold, whole genome shotgun sequence.
UCCGAGGUUUUUCUUGAAACCACAGAUUGAAAAUUGAAAGAAAACU